AGGUAUAACAAUAGCAUGGGUGAUGUGUUGUGAGAUUUUACAAUAACCAUAGAGCAAGAGCAAAAUGAAGUCACAAAAUUAUUUCUAAAAUCACGCAUGUUUGGGAUCUCAAUUAAAAGCCCACCACUCAAUUGGGCAAGAUACGAACUCUAUGCAUAUUAGGUUGUCUUAUAGAAUCAGAGCUAGUUUCUUCAAUCUCUACAUCCAUUCUUAAUAUAAUUGUUCCUUUUCCAAGCUUAAACAAAAUUUAUAUUACAAAUAAAAUGCCAAAAAAUAUAUGCCUAAAUAUUUUAUAUAGACAAAAAAUUACACUUUCUAUAUAAGUUACAUAUUUUUUUUUAAUCAAUAUAAGUGAUGUACAAAGCUGAUCUACUAUACGAACUCAAAUGUAAACUAACUAACAAUCAAGUGGUUACUUAUCCACCUCUCAAUAUUUACUCAAAUGUGUAAAAAAAAAAUACUAUCGUAUUGAAGUUUCUGAUAAAUUCAUUAAUCCCAUUUGUCACUAUCAAAUCGUGAGAUCCGAUAAAAAACCGAGAAUCUUGAAGUGUUGAAAGAACAUAUGUCUAAGAGUGAUCAACCAAACUUGUCAUGAAUUGAAACAUUGUGUUAAUGACCUGGGCCUUUUUCACUGGGCCCUGAAGACAUGGUAUGGACUUGGUUACCAAUCAAAACCCUAAAGACGUGAUUGGCCUUCUCUUUCAUUAGAAACUUUAGCCCUUUGACAUGUUCAUGAUCAUGAGUGGCCUUUACUUGGGAUGGAUGGACUCUACAAUUUACUAUGUUUGGCCUUGACACAGCCAACACAAUUAUGAACACUAGAAGUAAAAUGGAACGCCUCAUUCUUCACUUGGCUUCAACCUUAUUCCUCAAGUGCUGGAAGUUUUUAUACCCAAAUUAAAGGAUGUGGGGCUGAAAAAGAUUACUUUGGCAUCUUGAAUGAGCAAGCCAAACCAAUGGUCUUUGCUUAUUAAAUUAAUGAACGGUGAAGGGUUUGUUAGGG
rnacentral:lncRNA from 1 species